CAACCAUCAAGCCCCGGGCUUGUGUUGGGGCCCUGCGGCUGCCGCAGGCCCUGAAAACCAGUGGCGGGCUCGCUAGUCACUCCGAGCGUAGUAGUUUACACCUCGCUCAGGGCGUGCUGCGGGUUCCGGCCGUUAAAAGCCUUAUUUUACCAAA
rnacentral:misc_RNA from 1 species